rnacentral:lncRNA from 1 species
UAAACAUGACCAAAAUAGCACUUAAUGUUUUAUCAAAACAGAUAAAUAUACACUUAUACUACAAUGGUAAAUUAAUUUAGACAUUAUGAUUUAGAGUUAAGGGGUGGGGUUUAGGAUUUAGGAUUUAGGGUUUAAGGUUUAGGGUUUAGAGUUUAAGGUUUAGGGUUUAGAGUUUUGGGGUGGGGUUUAGGGUUUAGGGUUUAGAGUUAAGGGGUGGUGUUUAGGAUUUAGGGUUUAGGGUUUAAGAUUUAGGUUUAGGGUUUAGAGUUUAGGUUUUAGGGUUUAGAGUUAGGGAGUGGGGUUUUGAGAUAAGAUUUCAAAUUUUGAAAAAUAAAAAUAAUUAAAGUUUUCAAAAGAUAAAAUGCUAUUUUGGUCAUUUUAGUUUUUUAGGGCUAUUUUUAUGAC